AUCCCGUGGUGAAGGCAUCUAUAAAGUAACUAUUUGAAUCUUUCCUACGCCUCGUAUAGGGACUCGUCAUCCAAUUUUUUAAAAGUGGUGAUCACAUUUCGGAACUU
rfam:Gossypium raimondii chromosome 7, whole genome shotgun sequence.